rnacentral:rRNA from 1 species
AUUGAACGCUGGCGGCAGGCCUAACACAUGCAAGUCGAGCGGAUGAAGGGAGCUUGCUCCUGGAUUCAGCGGCGGACGGGUGAGUAAUGCCUAGGAAUCUGCCUGGUAGUGGGGGAUAACGUCCGGAAACGGGCGCUAAUACCGCAUACGUCCUGAGGGAGAAAGUGGGGGAUCUUCGGACCACACGCUAUCAGAUGAGCCUAGUUCGGAUUAGCUAGUUGGUGGGGUAAAGGCCUACCAAGGCGACGAUCCGUAACUGGUCUGAGAGGAUGAUCAGUCACACUGGAACUGAGACACGGUCCAGACUCCUACGGGAGGCAGCAGUGGGGAAUAUUGGACAAUGGGCGAAAGCCUGAUCCAGCCAUGCCGCGUGUGUGAAGAAGGUCUUCGGAUUGUAAAGCACUUUAAGUUGGGAGGAAGGGCAGUAAGUUAAUACCUUGCUGUUUUGACGGUACCAAAAGAAUAAGCACCGGCUAACUUCGUG